rnacentral:rRNA from 1 species
GACGAACGCUGGCGGCGUGCUUAACACAUGCAAGUCGAACGGAAAGGCCCUGCUUUUGUGGGGUGCUCGAGUGGCGAACGGGUGAGUAACACGUGAGUAACCUGCCCUUGACUUUGGGAUAACUUCAGGAAACUGGGGCUAAUACCGGAUAGGAGCUCCUGCUGCAUGGUGGGGGUUGGAAAGUUUCGGCGGUUGGGGAUGGACUCGCGGCUUAUCAGCUUGUUGGUGGGGUAGUGGCUUACCAAGGCUUUGACGGGUAGCCGGCCUGAGAGGGUGACCGGCCACAUUGGGACUGAGAUACGGCCCAGACUCCUCCGGGAGGCAGCAGUGGGGAAUAUUGCACAAUGGGCGGAAGCCUGAUGCAGCAACGCCGCGUGCGGGAUGACGGCCUUCGGGUUGUAAACCGCUUUCGCCUGUGACGAAGCGUGAGUGACGGUAAUGGGUAAAGAAGCACCGGCUAACUACG